rnacentral:misc_RNA from 1 species
GAUGAAGAACGUAGCGAAAUGCGAUAAGUAGUGUGAAUUGCAGAAUUCAGUGAAUCAUCGAAUCUUUGAACGCACAUUGCGCCCCCUGGUAUUCCGGGGGGCAUGCCUGUCCGAGCGUCAUUACAACCCUGAAGCUCAGCUUGGUGUUGGGCCCCGCCGUCCCGGCGGGCCCUAAAGUCAGUGGCGGUGCCGUCCGGCUCCGAGCGUAGUAAUUCUUCUCGCUCUGGAGGUCCGGUCGUGUGCUCGCCAGCAACCCCCAAUUUUUUCAGGUUGACCUCGGAUCAGGUAGGGAUACCCGCUGAACUUAAGCAUAUCAAUAAGCGGAGGA